UACGGAGUGUGCAAGCGUUACUCGGAAUCACUGGGCAUAAAGCGCGCGUAGGCGGGUAUUCAAGUCGGUUGUGAAAUCCCCCAGCUCAACUGGGGAACUGCAUCCGAUACUGUCUGUCUUGAGGACGAGAGGGGAGAGUGGAACUUCUGGUGGAGCGGUGAAAUGCGUAGAUAUCAGGAGGAACACCGGUGGCGAAGGCGGGUCUCUGGGCCGGAACUGACGCUAAGGAGCGAAAGCGUGGGGAGCGAACAGG
rnacentral:rRNA from 1 species